CCUACGGGAGACAGCAGUGAGGAAUAUUGGUCAAUGGUCGGGAGACUGAACCAGCCAAGCCGCGUGAGGGAUGAAGGUACAGAGUAUCGUAAACCUCUUUUGUCAGGGAACAAAGGCGGGGACGUGUCCCCGGAUGAGUGUACCUGAAGAAAAAGCAUCGGCUAACUCCGUGCCAGCAGCCGCGGUAAUACGGAGGAUGCGAGCGUUAUCCGGGUUUAUUGGGUUUAAAGGGUGCGCGGGCGGUCUGUUAAGCUAGCGGUAAAAGCCCGGGGCUCAACCCCGGCCCGCCGUUGAAACUGGCAGUCUCGAGUUGGAGAGAAGUAUGCGGAAUGUGUGGUGUAGCGGUGAAAUGCAUAGAUAUCGCGCAGAACUCCGAUUGCGAAGGCAGCAUGCCGGCUCCACACUGACGCUGAGGCACGAAAGCGUGGGUAUCGAACAGGAUUAGAUACCCGGGUAGUC
rnacentral:rRNA from 1 species